AGUGAACGCUGGCGGUAGGCCUAACACAUGCAAGUCGAACGGCAGCACAGUAAGAGCUUGCUCUUACGGGUGGCGAGUGGCGGACGGGUGAGGAAUACAUCGGAAUCUACUUUUUCGUGGGGGAUAACGUAGGGAAACUUACGCUAAUACCGCAUACGACCUACGGGUGAAAGCAGGGGAUCUUCGGACCUUGCGCGAUUGAAUGAGCCGAUGUCGGAUUAGCUAGUUGGCGGGGUAAAGGCCCACCAAGGCGACGAUCCGUAGCUGGUCUGAGAGGAUGAUCAGGCAAACUGGGACUGAGGACACGGCCCGGCCCCUACGGGAGGCCACCGUGGGGGAUUAUGGACCAAUGGGCGCAACCUUGUCCAGCCCUACCGCGUGGGUUGAAGAAGGCUUCCGGUUGGAAAAGCCUUUUUUUGGGGAAAAAAAGCCGGCGGGUUAAACCCCGGCGGUCUGACCGUAACCCAAAGAUAAACCACGGCUAACUUCGUG
rnacentral:rRNA from 1 species